GACAGAGGGUGCAAACGUUGUUCGGAAUUACUGGGCGUAAAGCGCGUGUAGGCGGCCCUGCAAGUCGGAUGUGAAAUCCCACGGCUCAACCGUGGAAGUGCAUUCGAAACUGCAGGGCUAGAGUCCUGGAGAGGAAGGUGGAAUGCUUGGUGUAGAGGUGAAAUUCGUAGAUAUCAAGCGGAACACCGGUGGCGAAGGCGGCCUUCUGGACAGUGACUGACGCUGAGACGCGAAAAGCGUGGGGAGCAAACAGGG
rnacentral:rRNA from 1 species